UGAGAGGUUUUCACAGAUUUGAUUAUACUUUUUUCAUCUGUUUCCCCUUAACCGACCACUUGCAGGAUAAUGGCUGAUAGAGUUUAGGGGAACACUCACACAUGUACAUAUAUAUGUUUAUAUAUGUGUAUGUAUGUAUAUAUAAGAGUACUAGCCCUCCCUUUCUCUGGUCGACUUUUUCUCAGGGCUCACUCCACAGUAGAGGUCACUGGCUCACAAUGGGAUCAAAUUAUGAAUGUGGCCUCAUUUAUCCUGUAUUCCUGGGUUAACUGAUCAAGACAUAAGAUUUAUCCUAGGAUUUAAACAUUUCUAAUAUAAUACAUCUUUCACCCGAUUCUCUAUGCCUUCCUCCACAGAGCGUAACAUCUAGACCUAAUGAGAGCAGAAAAUUAGAAAAUUUUCUUCUACUCUAUCCCCAGACCUGCUUCUUGAAAUAUAUCCAUCCCUGAUUCAGAGGAAGGGGUGUUUGCUAACUGGUUGCUUGUGAAUGUUGGCCCACACGAAUACAUUAAAAGAUACUGGAAGAGUAUGAAGGAGUUCGAUGACUCCAGCCAGAGCAAGUCAGAAUUGAUUUAAAGGUCUGGGCAACUGGACACUCUGAAAGGAUCAAGUCCCAUCUGCAUUAAAAAGGAUUUUCCAAAAUGGCAAUAUCAUGUCAGUGGCAAUACUUACCACGAAGGAGCAAUGAGUGUUUUUGUUUCUAUGAGAGGCAAAGUGGCAUAGUGAAUAAAAGGUCAGCCCUGGAGUCAACACCUGAGUCUAAAUCUUGUCUUUGAGCCUGUGUAACAAUGGUCAAGUCACUUAACCUCUCUCCAGGUAGCCAAGUUAUUCCAGGAAUAUUUAGAAUACUCAGUACCGUAUGAUAUCACAGCAGCUUUGGGACUCAGAGUUCAGUAUCU